rnacentral:rRNA from 1 species
AGUGAACGCUGGCGGUAGGCCUAACACAUGCAAGUCGAACGGCAGCACAGUAAGAGCUUGCUCUUACGGGUGGCGAGUGGCGGACGGGUGAGGAAUACAUCGGAAUCUACUUUUUCGUGGGGGAUAACGUAGGGAAACUUACGCUAAUACCGCAUACGACCUACGGGUGAAAGCAGGGGAUCUUCGGACCUUGCGCGAUUGAAUGAGACGAUGUCGGAUUAGCUAGUUGGCGGGGUAAGGGCCCACCAAGGCGACGAUCCGUAGCUGGGCUGAGAGGAUGAUCGGCCACACUGGAACUGAGACACGGUCCAGACUCCUACGGGAGGCAGCAGUGGGGAAUAUUGGACAAUGGGCGCAAGCCUGAUCCAGCCAUACCGCGUGAGUGAAGAAGGCCUUCGGGUUGUAAAGCCCUUUUGUUGGGAAAGAAAAGCAGCAGGUUAAUACCCCGCUGUUCUGACGGUACCCAAAGAAUAAGCACCGGCUAACUUCGUG